rnacentral:rRNA from 1 species
AGUGAACGCUGGCGGUAGGCCUAACACAUGCAAGUCGAACGGCAGCACAGUAAGAGCUUGCUCUUACGGGUGGCGAGUGGCGGACGGGUGAGGAAUACAUCGGAAUCUACUUUUUCGUGGGGGAUAACGUAGGGAAACUUACGCUAAUACCGCAUACGACCUACGGGUGAAAGCAGGGGAUCUUCGGACCUUGCGCGAUUGAAUGAGCCGAUGUCGGAGUAGCUAGUUGGCGGGGUAAAGGCCCACCAAGGCGACGAUCCGUAGCUGGUCUGAGAGGAUGAUCAGCCACACUAGAACUGAGACACGGUCCAGACGCCUACGGGAGGCAGCAGUGGGGAAUAUUGGACAAUGGGCGCAAGCCUGAUCCAGCCAUACCGCGUGGGUGAAGAAGGCCUUCGGGUUGUAAAGCCCUUUUGUUGGGAAAGAAAAGCAGCAGGUUAAUACCCCGCUGUUCUGACGGUACCCAAAGAAUAAGCACCGGCUAACUUCGUG